UGGCUUAUGUCUCCAGCUACCCAUUAUGGGUGCUCAUUUCUUCAGUUAUCCAAGUUCAUGUCCAAGAAGUCAACCUUGAUUUUUCACACUUCCUAACAGUCUGCAUUCAAUCAGAUGCCAAGUAUCAUUGAUUUCAACUCAUCACCAUGUCAUGUUAAUAUUUUGGUAUGCAAUCCCUCAAUGCUUUUCUCAACCAUCAUACCAGCUGACCUUCUUAUAUCAGGAAUGGCAGAAGAAAUCAUACCUUCAGAAGGAAAUUAAGAUCAUCUCAUCAACUUCAUGAAGGAAAGGAA
rnacentral:lncRNA from 1 species